CGGCGGCCUUCCGGUGAGGCUCUGGGUCACCUCCCACCCGUGUUUAUUUUACCUUGUUGCUUCGGCGGGCCCGCCUUAACUGGCCGCCGGGGGGCUUACGCCCCCGGGCCCGCGCCCGCCGAAGACACCCUCGAACUCUGUCUGAAGAUUGUAGUCUGAGUGAAAAUAUAAAUUAUUUAAAACUUUCAACAACGGAUCUCUUGGUUCCGGCAUCGAUGAAGAACGCAGCGAAAUGCGAUACGUAAUGUGAAUUGCAAAUUCAGUGAAUCAUCGAGUCUUUGAACGCACAUUGCGCCCCCUGGUAUUCCGGGGGGCAUGCCUGUCCGAGCGUCAUUGCUGCCCUCAAGCACGGCUUGUGUGUUGGGCCCCGUCCUCCGAUCCCGGGGGACGGGCCCGAAAGGCAGCGGCGGCACCGCGUCCGGUCCUCGAGCGUAUGGGGCUUUGUCACCCGCUCUGUAGGCCCGGCCGGCGCUUGCCGAUCAACCCAAAUUUUUAUCCAGGUUGACCUCGGAUCAGGUAGGGAUACCCGCUGAACUUAAGCAUAUCAAUAAGCGGAGGAA
rnacentral:rRNA from 1 species